rnacentral:lncRNA from 1 species
AAAAAAAAAAAAAGAAGUUAAACACAAAAAGCCACAUGUUGCAUGAUUCAAUUUAUAGGAAACAUAGAGAACAGGUGAAUCCAUAGGGGCAAAAAAGCAGAAAACAGGGACUGCAAGGUGUCGGGGAUAGGGAGUAACUAAUUUAUGGACACAGGUUUCCUUUUGGAGUGAUGAAAAUGUCUUCUGGAACUAGACAGAAGUGAUGGUUAUACAGCACUGUGAAUGUUAUCAAAUGUUACUAAUGAUAAAUUUUGUUACGAGAAUUAUACCACAUCAAAUAUAUAGUACCUGACAUACAAGCAUUCUAAAAACUUUACAUUUUUUUAAUAGCAAAAUGAGCAAAACUAUCUCU